UCAAAGAUUAAGCCAUGCAUGUCUCAGUAUAAGCAACUUGUACGUGUGAAACUGCGAAUGGCUCAUUAAAUCAGUUAUAAUUUAUUUGAUAGUGAUUUACUACAUGGAUAGCCGUAGUAAUUCUAGAGCUAAUACAUGCAUAAAGACCCGACUCUUCGGGAAGGGUUGUAUUUAUUAGAUCGAAAACCAUCACUGAAGGAGUAGUUCUGCUAUUCCUUCGAAUUUAUGGUGAGUCAUGAUAAAUGUCGAAUCGGAGUUAUUUUCGAUGUGUCAUUCAAAUUUCUGCCCUAUCAACUUGUUGGUAGGAUAGGGGCCUACCAUGGUUUUGACGGGUAACGGAGAAUUAGGGUUCGAUUCCGGAGAGGGAGCCUGAGAAAUGGCUACUACUUCUAAGGAAGGCAGCAGGCGCGCAAAUUACCCAAUCCCAAUCAUUUUGGGGAGGUAGUGACAAAAAAUACUAAUGCUCGGGGUCUUUGGCCUCGGUAAUUGGAAUGGUAUGGAAGCAAAUCCUCCAUAGAGCAGCCAUUAGAGGGCAAGUCUGGUGCCAGCAGCCGCGGUAAUUCCAGCUCUAAUAGUGUAUACUAAAAUUGCUGCAGUUAAAAAGCUCGUAGUUGGAUUUUGGAUGGGUCAGGAUACUUUUAUGGGUGAUUUUAUGGUUGUGUACGUGUCUGUUUCUUAUGACAGUAUAUGACCUGAUUUUAGUCAUAAGGGUUGAUUCGUCCGUUAUUUUUCGGAAUUGCCUUGUCCCCUUCAUUGGGCGGCAUGGCAAGUUCGGAGGAUUUACUUUGAAGAAAUUGUAGUGUUUAAAGCAGGCGUUUCGCAGCUGAACACAUUAGCAUGGAAUAAUAAAAUAGGACAUCUGAGCAAGUACUUACACAGUUACCGCUCAUUAUCUUUCAAUCACUGCACCUCCUGGUAACAGGUGGUCUUGCAUUGGUUGGGAUGGUGAGAAAUGGGGCUGUGGGAUUAGGCUUUUGCUUUCUUUGAUAUCUAUUUUGUUGGUUUUUGGAGAAGGUGUAAUGAUUAAUAGGGACAGUUGGGGGCAUCCGUAUUGCAUUGUCAGAGGUGAAAUUCUUGGAUUUAUGCAAGACGAACUAGUGCGAAAGCAUUUGCCAAGGAUGUUUUCAUUAAUCAAGAACGAAAGUUAGGGGAUCGAAGGCGAUCAGAAACCGCCGUAGUCUUAACUAUAAACUAUACCAACUAGGGAUUGGAGAGCGUCUUUUAAUGGCCUCGUCAGCACCUUUAGAGAAAUCAAAGUCUCUGGGUUCUGGGGGGAGUAUGGUCGCAAGGCUGAAACUUAAAGAAAUUGACGGAAGGGCACCACCAGGUGUGGAGCCUGCGGCUUAAUUCAACUCAACACGGGGAAACUCACCAGGUCCAGACACGGGAAGGAUUGACAGAUUGAUAGCUCUUUCUUGAUUCUGUGGGUGGUGGUGCAUGGUCGUUCUUAGUUGGUGGAGUGAUUUGUCUGGUUAAUUCCGAUAACGAACGAGACCUUAACCUGCUAAAUAGCCCAGUCUCAGAAGUUUCUUCUGAGGGUUUUUAUUUGGGGCUUCUUAGAGGGACUACCAGUGGUCACAUGGUGGAAGCUUGAGGCAAUAACAGGUCUGUGAUGCCCUUAGAUGUCCUGGGCCGCACGCGCGCUACAAUGAUGCAUUCAACAAGUUUGUGCUUGUCCGAAAGGAUUGGCUAAUCUUUUAAAACUGCAUCGUGCCUGGGGAUUGAUCUUUGUAAUUUUGGAUCAUGAACUAGGAAUACCUAGUAAGUGCAAUUCAUCAGGUUGCGCUGAUUACGUCCCUGCCCUUUGUACACACCGCCCGUCGCUCCUACCGAUUGAAUGAUCAGAUGAAAUGCUCGGAUUUGCGACUUUCGGCUCUUUCGAGGGUUGCGAGUUGUGGAGAAGAGUAGUAAAUCUUAUUAUUUAGA
rnacentral:rRNA from 1 species